UUUCCGUAGGUGAACCUGCGGAAGGAUCAUUGUCGAAACCUGCAAGGCAGAACGACCCGUGAAUCGGUAAAAACUAACUCGGGUGGCAGGCCUCAAGGUUUGUCACCCGAAGUCCCAAGGCAUUGGUUGCGGGUAAAACUGCAGCCUCUGUUGAGGGGCAAAAAACAACAAACCCCGGCGCAGAUCGCGCCAAGGAACCAUAAAAAGAUGUGUGCUCCCCAAGUCUCGGAAACGAUGCCUUGUGGGAUGCGUCGUCGUUAUCAGAACUGAAACGACUCUCGGCAACGGAUAUCUCGGCUCUCGCAUCGAUGAAGAACGUAGCGAAAUGCGAUACUUGGUGUGAAUUGCAGAAUCCCGUGAACCAUCGAGUUUUUGAACGCAAGUUGCGCCCGAAGCCGUCAGGCCGAGGGCACGUCUGCCUGGGUGUCAUGAAACGUUGCCAAAUUUCCCUUCACCCACUUUGCUUUAGAAGAUGGGAUAAAUGAGGGAUGGCGGAUGUUGGCCUCCCGUGAGCUCAUGUUUGCGGUUGGCCCAAAAGAAAGUCCCUGGCGCGGCAGCCACGACAUGCGGUGGUUGGCAGCACACGCUCCACGAACACCGUCGUGUGCAGGCCUGGUCAAUGGGGACGUGCAGACCCUGAGACAAAGUGUCUCUCCAUAACGCGGACCCCAGGUCAGGCGGGAACACCCGCUGAGUUUAAG
rnacentral:rRNA from 1 species